rnacentral:rRNA from 1 species
GACGAACGCUGGCGGCGUGCUUAACACAUGCAAGUCGAACGGAAAGGCCCUGCUUUUGUGGGGUGCUCGAGUGGCGAACGGGUGAGUAACACGUGAGUAACCUGCCCUUGACUUUGGGAUAACUUCAGGAAACUGGGGCUAAUACCGGAUAGGAGCUCCUGCUGCAUGGUGGGGGUUGGAAAGUUUCGGCGGUUGGGGAUGGACUCGCGGCUUAUCAGCUUGUUGGUGGGGUAGUGGCUUACCAAGGCUUUGACGGGUGGCCGGCCUGAGAGGGUGACCGGCCACAUUGGGACUGAGAUACGGCCCAGACUCCUACGGGAGGCAGCAGUGGGGAAUAUUGCACAAUGGGCGGAAGCCUGAUGCAGCAACGCCGCGUGCGGGAUGACGGCCUUCGGGCUGUAAACCGCUUUCGCCUGUGACGAAGCGUGAGUGACGGUAAUGGGUAAAGAAGCACCGGCUAACUACGUG